rnacentral:lncRNA from 1 species
AUACCACAUUUUGUUUAUCUAUCAUCUAUGCAUGGACACCUGGUUUGUUGACACUGUUGACAAUACUUUCUAAACUCUAGCAGGAGAUAGAGAUCCAGAAAGAAAAAAUCAAGUCUGACUUUAAGCAUCUGCAGACUUUUCUCCAUGAAGAAGAGCAGUUGUAUCUCUGGAGGCUGGAGAAAGAAGAAGAGAAGAUGCUGAGGGGACUGAGGGAGAGUGAGGCCAACAUGCAGCAGAAGAGCAAUGAGCUCAAGAGCCACAUCCUGGAACUGGAGGCUAAGUGUCAGGGUUCAGCCCAUAAGCUGAUGAAGAUGACAGAUGAGGCAGUGGGGCAGCCCAAAGAAGGGCCUUUCCCUGAUUUGCUGGUAGAGUCCUUGCUGCUGAGCAAUCAUGGGCUUUCUUACAGCUGUACAAAGGUAAAUAACUGGAGCUGUGCACUCGGCAUCUCGCUAGUGGGAUUAGUUGUGAAGGUGGCAUAGCACCACCACCCCUCGAUACGGGCUGCUACCUUCUAGGUGCCCCAAUUUCAGGAGCUGCCUGUGCAGUCACCACACACAACUGUGGUGACAGAUGAUCUCUACAAGGGCUCACUCUGCAGGACAUCAGGUCCCUGAGAGCCAGUCUUGCCAGAGGGAGGCUGAGCAAAGCUCCUGCCACAUCCCCAGUAGCCACAGGCUGAUUCCACCAAGGCCACUGCUCUUCCCCACAGGCUU